AUACGGAGGAUGCGAGCGUUAUCCGGAUUUAUUGGGUUUAAAGGGUGCGCAGGCGGCCAUUUAAGUCAGCGGUUAAGUCGUGGGGCUCAACCCCAUUCUGCCGUUGAUACUGGGUGGCUUGAUUGCGGUCGAGGUUGGCGGAAUUCGUUGUGUAGCGGUGGAAUGCAUAGAUAUGACGAAGAACACCGAUUGCGUAGGCAGCUGACCAGAUCGCAAAUGACGCUCAUGCACGAAAGUGCGGGGAUCGAACAGGAUUAGAUACCCUGGUAGUCCGCACAGUAAACGAUGAAUACUUGUUUUCGGCGAUAUAAUGUCGGAGGCAAAGCGAAAGCGAUAAGUAUUCCACCUGGGGAGUACGCCGGCAACGGUGAAACUCAAAUGAAUUGGCGGGG
rnacentral:rRNA from 1 species